CUACGGGAGGCAGCAGUAAGGAAUAUUGGACAAUGGGGGCAACCCUGAUCCAGCCAUGCCGCGUGAAUGAUGAAGGCCUUCGGGUUGUAAAGUUCUUUUGGUAGGGACGAUGAUGACGAUACCUACAGAAUAAGCUCCGGCUAACUUCGUGCCAGCAGCCGCGGUAAUACGAAGGGAGCUAGCGUUGUUCGGAAUUACUGGGCGUAAAGAGCGCGUAGGCGGUUUAACAAGUCAGAAGUGAAAGCCCUGGGCUCAACCCGGGAAUUGCUUUUGAGACUGUUUUUCUGGAGUACGAGAGAGGUAAGUGGAAUUCCCAGUGUAGCAGUGAAAUGCGUAGAUAUUGGGAGGAACACCAGUGGCGAAGGCGGCUUACUGGCUCGUAACUGACGCUAAGGCGCGAAAGCGUGGGGAGCAAACAGGAUUAGAAACCCGGGUAGUCC
rnacentral:rRNA from 1 species